UUAGAUACCCUGGUAGUCCAUGCCGUAAACGAUGAGUGCUAGGUGUUGGAGGGUUUCCGCCACUUCAGUGCCGCAGCUAACGCAUUAAGCACUCCGCCUGGGGAGUACGACCGCAAGGUUGAAACUCAAAGGAAUUGACGGGGGCCCGCACAAGCGGUGGAGCAUGUGGUUUAAUUCGAAGCAACGCGAAGAACCUUACCAGGUCUUGACAUCCUUUGACCACUCUAGAGAUAGAGCUUUCCCUUCGGGGACAAAGUGACAGGUGGUGCAUGGUUGUCGUCAGCUCGUGUCGUGAGAUGUUGGGUUAAGUCCCGCAACGAGCGCAACCCUUAUUACUAGUUGCCAGCAUUUAGUUGGGCACUCUAGUGAGACUGCCGGUGACAAACCGGAGGAAGGUGGGGACGACGUCAAAUCAUCAUGCCCCUUAUGACCUGGGCUACACACGUGCUACAAUGGAUGGUACAACGAGUUGCGAGACCGCGAGGUUUAGCUAAUCUCUUAAAACCAUUCUCAGUUCGGAUUGUAGGCUGCAACUCGCCUACAUGAAGCCGAAUCGCUAGUAAUCGCGGAUCAGCAUGCCGCG
rnacentral:rRNA from 2 species